ensembl:lncRNA
CUUGAUUCAGAAACAGGACUAUAUGGCAGUGUAGAUCCAGCCUGAGCUGGUUUAUUUCUAAACCAACCCAAUGUGUCUGUUAUGACUAGCAGCAGAUCCAGAGCUUGGAAUAAAAAAAUGCACAUAUUGUGUACUGCACCUUCUAACUGAUCAAGAAAUUCUGGGAAACUUCAUAUAUAAAAAGGAACUUUUCUAGGCAUUGCAAAUUUCAAGCAGAGAUAUUUGGAGAUGGCAAGAGUGAGACGCGUUUUCUUUGAAUUCAGUCCUGAGUCAUGUCUGUUCCCUGAGUUGGUGACAUUCCUUCUUAAUUGCACAUAAACUAAAAAUAUAUAGGUGCCAUACAAACUAAAAAUAUACUGUGGAGUGGUAUCGCAAUAGUGUUUUCGCACUAUUGAAAAGCAGUUGUGCUUGUUUAAGUUGGGAAGACCAUUUUUUGCUGUUUCUAUGAUUGCUGUUGCAGUUUCCUGUGACUUUAUUCCUUGAAGCUGCCUUUGAGGAUUGGGGAACCCUUCUAAAUGUAAUGGGGGAUUUCAGGGAAAUACAAGGGAUCAGCAAAAACAUCAGACGUCUUCCUUUCUGGACCUCUUGAUUUAUGCAACCGUUGGACCUUAAAAGCAGGGUACCUUUCUCAUUCCUAUUAUUUUAUUUAUUGUGUCAGAAGCGAAUUGAGGGUACUGUUAUAAUUUAUUUUAAAACACUAAAUUAUAAUUUAUUUUAAAACACUGUUAUAAUUUAUUUUAAAACAGGCUGUGCCGCAGGCUGUUGAGCAGCUGCAAUAAAUCACUCUGACCAUGAGGUCAUGAGUUCGAGGCCAGCCUGUGGCAGGGUGAGCACCCGUCAAUUAAAAAUAAAAAAUAGCCCCUGCUCGUUGCUGACCUAGCAACCCGAAAGAUAGUUGCAUCUAUCAAGUAGGAAAUAAGGUACCACUUAUAAAAAAAAACGUGGGGAGGCAAGUUUAACUAAUUUACGACCUGGAAUGAGGAAGUGCCGUCAGAGUGGAUGAUGAAGCAGCUGCUCCCCCCUGUGGAAUCGAACAUCCCCUCAGGAGAAGGUUAAGUUGCCUCUGCGUCUGUCUGUCUCGGUCUCUGUUUGAUGUGUUUAUGGGCAUUGAAUGUUUGCCCUAUGUGUGUAUAAUGUGAUCCGCCCUGAGUCCCCUUCGGGGUGAGAAGGGCGGAAUAUAAAUACUGUAAAUAAAUAAAUAAAAACUUGGCAUUAUACUAGAUUUCCUUUGACCAGAAGGGCACUUGGAGUGCCUCUGUGAGAAGGUCCCACAUUGUUCCAUGUGGCAGGGCUCAGGUUGCAUUAUAGUAAGUGGUCUGUGGUUUGCUCUUCUCUAUACUCACACGUCGUGGACUCCACUUUGUGGCCCCAUUUCUUAAGAUUAGCUCUGCGUCUUGUGAUCUAUUCAGCGCCUUCCAAGUCGCCCAGUCUUCUAUGUGCCCAGGAGGGGGUUUCUCAUCCGGAAUCAGCCAUGGAUGAAAGUUCCGGGUUUUAACCUGCCACUUUUGGACUCUCUCUUGCUGAGGUGUUCUUGAGAGUAUCUCUGUAAAUCUUAGGAAGUUGUUUCUUGAUUUAAGUCGUCAGCAUGCUGGCUGAUAUCUGAACAGAGGAUGGGGCCAGAGAUGUCAAUGCCUUGGUCCUUUCAUAACUGGCUGCUACAUCCCAGUGAAUAUCAGGUAGUGCAAUAUCAGCUAAACAGUAUACUGUAUAUACUCCAAGUAUAAGCCUAGUUUUUCAGCCCUUUUUUUAAGACUGAAAAAGCCCCCCUCGGCUUAUACUCGGGUGAGGGUCCUGGUUGGCUUAUAUUUGGGU